GAGACAGCAGUAGCCGCGGUAAUACGGAGGGAGCUAGCGUUGUUCGGAAUUACUGGGCGUAAAGCGCACGUAGGCGGCUUUGUAAGUUAGAGGUGAAAGCCUGGAGCUCAACUCCAGAAUUGCCUUUAAGACUGCAUCGCUUGAAUCCAGGAGAGGUGAGUGGAAUUCCGAGUGUAGAGGUGAAAUUCGUAGAUAUUCGGAAGAACACCAGUGGCGAAGGCGGCUCACUGGACUGGUAUUGACGCUGAGGCACGAAAGCGUGGGGAGCAAACAGGAUUAGAUACCCGAGUAGUCCCUGUCUCUUAUAU
rnacentral:rRNA from 1 species